rnacentral:rRNA from 2 species
CCUCUUUCAGUAGGGAAGAAGCGAAAGUGACGGUACCUGCAGAAGAAGCGCCGGCUAACUACGUGCCAGCAGCCGCGGUAAUACGUAGGGCGCAAGCGUUAUCCGGAUUUAUUGGGCGUAAAGAGCUCGUAGGCGGUUUGUCGCGUCUGCCGUGAAAGUCCGAGGCUCAACCUCGGAUCUGCGGUGGGUACGGGCAGACUAGAGUGAUGUAGGGGAGACUGGAAUUCCUGGUGUAGCGGUGAAAUGCGCAGAUAUCAGGAGGAACACCGAUGGCGAAGGCAGGUCUCUGGGCAUUUACUGACGCUGAGGAGCGAAAGCAUGGGGAGCGAACAGGAUUAGAUACCCUGGUAGUCCAUGCCGUAAACGUUGGGCACUAGGUGUGGGGGACAUUCCACGUUUUCCGCGCCGUAGCUAACGCAUUAAGUGCCCCGCCUG